rnacentral:rRNA from 1 species
UGCCGCGUGAGUGAAGAAGGCCUUCGGGUUGUAAAGCUCUUUUGUCAGGGAAGAAACGGUGAGGGCUAAUAUCCUUUGCUAAUGACGGUACCUGAAGAAUAAGCACCGGCUAACUACGUGCCAGCAGCCGCGGUAAUACGUAGGGUGCAAGCGUUAAUCGGAAUUACUGGGCGUAAAGCGUGCGCAGGCGGUUAUGUAAGUCAGAUGUGAAAUCCCCGGGCUCAACCUGGGAAUGGCAUUUGAGACUGCAUGGCUAGAGUGUGUCAGAGGGGGGUAGAAUUCCACGUGUAGCAGUGAAAUGCGUAGAGAUGUGGAGGAAUACCGAUGGCGAAGGCAGCCCCCUGGGAUAACACUGACGCUCAUGCACGAAAGCGUGGGGAGCAAACAGGAUUAGAUACCCUGGUAGUCCACGCCCUAAACGAUGUCUACUAGUUGUCGGGACUUAAUUGUCUUGGUAACGCAGCUAACGCGUGAAGUAGACCGCCUGGGGAGUACGGUCGCAAGAUUAAAACUCAAAGGAAUUGACGGGGACCCGCACAAGCGGUGGAUGAUGUGGAUUAAUUCGAUGCAACGCGAAAAACCUUACCUACCCUUGACAUGUACGGAACCUCUGAGAGA